rnacentral:rRNA from 1 species
GACGAACGCUGGCGGCGUGCCUAAUACAUGCGAGUAGAACGCACAGUUUAUACCGUAGCUUGCUACACCAUAAACUGUGAGUUGCGAGCGGGUGAGUAACGCGUAGGUAACCUGCCUGGUAGCGGGGGAUAACUAUUGGAAACGAUAGCUAAUACCGCAUAAUAUUGAUUAUUGCAUGAUAAUUGAUUGAAAGAUGCUAUUGCAUCACUACCAGAUGGACCUGCGUUGUAUUAGCUAGUAGGUGAGGUAACGGCUCACCUAGGCGACGAUACAUAGCCGACCUGAGAGGGUGAUCGGCCACACUGGGACUGAGACACGGCCCAGACUCCUACGGGAGGCAGCAGUAGGGAAUCUUCGGCAAUGGACGAAAGUCUGACCGGGCAACGCCGCGUGAGUGAAGAAGGUUUUCGGAUCGUAAAGCUCUGUUGUAAGAGAAGAACGGGUGUGAGAGUGGAAAGUUCACACUGUGACGGUAUCUUACCAGAAAGGGACGGCUAACUACGUG